rnacentral:sRNA from 1 species
CUAAUCGUAUCUCUAAUUUUCUUCCUGUUAAAAUUCUCAAAAGCAAUUGAAAUACCAUCUUCAGUUCAACAGGUUCCAACAAUCAUAAAACAGUCAAAAGUCCAAGUUGCCUUUCCCUUUGAUGAGUAUUUUCAGAUUGAAUGUGAAGCUAAAGGAAAUCCAGAACCAAUAUUUUCGUGGACUAAGGAUGGCAACCCUUUUUAUUUCACUGACCAUCGGAUAAUGACAUCGAACAAUUCAGGAACGUUCAGAAUCCCAAAUGAGGGGCACAUAUCUCACUUUCAAGGGAAAUACCGCUGCUUUGCUUCAAAUAAACUGGGAAUCGCUAUGUCAGAAGAAAUAGAAUUUAUAGUUCCAAGUAAGUACUAUAAUGGGAAUUUCAUUUUACAAGUGUUUUAGUGAAAUGUUAAAUAGGAGUUAGAUUGGGUUCCAAUGAAAUAAAGCAGUUAUUAAUUAAAUCAA